GAUGAACGCUGGCGGCGUGUCUAAUACAUGCAAGUCGAGCGAACGGACGAGAAGUUUUCUUUUCUGAUGUUAGCGGCGGACGGGUGAGUAACACGUGGAUAACCUACCUAUAAGCCUGGGAUAACUUCGGGAAACCGGAGCUAAUACCGGAUAAUAUUUUGAACCGCAUGGUUCAAAAGUGAAAGACGGUCUUGCUGUCACUUAUAGAUGGAUCCGCGCCGCAUUAGCUAGUUGGCAAGGUAACGGCUUACCAAGGCAACGAUGCAUAGCCGACCUGAGAGGGUGAGCGGCCACACUCGAGGUGAGACACGGUCCAGACUCCGACGGGAGGCAGCAGUAGGGAAUCUUCCGCAAUGGGCGGAAGCCUGACGAGGCACCGCCGCGCGAGGGAUGAAGGUCUUCGGGUCGUAAGCCUCUGUUAGUAGGGGAGAACAGAUGUGUAAGUAGCUGUGCACAUCUUGACGGGACCUAAUCGAAAAGCCACGGGCACCUACGU
rnacentral:rRNA from 1 species